AAUAUUUAAAGCAAUAGUGAAAUCAUUGCGGUAAGGUGGUGUUUAAAAAUAAAAUUCCAACUAAAAGUAACUCGAAUGCAAAAUUUAAUUCGUCUAUUAAAAGCUUGCAGUGAUUCUAUGAGCAUACAAAUGUAAUAGUCGCGUGUUUGUGUUAGUAUACAUAUACUUAUAUAGUUAGUAGGUAUGAAAUAGUUAUUUUUAUAUCUUUAAAUACAAGUAUAGCAUUUACCACACACAUACUGAAAUAUUAAAAUUCUUAACACUCGACACCGUAGCCGCCAAGGACUUCAAGCGUGGCACUGGCAGCAGCUGCACAAUAUUAGCGUCCUGUUGAGCGGCAAACGCGCACACAAAACAACAACAAACAAGCCACAAACAGCAGCCUACAGACGCCAACUAGGAGCCGCCACGAACUAUGCGAAGUUGAGGGUGUGUAGAACACCUGUUGGGUUGAGAUUGUCUGCAUUGCUGGGCCAACUAUAUAUAUAGCAUGGCUGCCAGGAGAAUUUAUGGAAUUCCGCUUUAAAAACACAAAUUCAUAUUUAAAUAAAUAUUCAUAUAUGUACGCACAAUCUCAUAUUGAAACUUUGCUGCAGACGUGGAAGCUACAUGGGUUCACACUUAUAUACAUCUAUGCAGCAGGACGUCAGUAUGCAAGUGCGUUGCGCGGAAUCCUUGCAAUCUUGUUAUGCCCUUGAUUCCACAAAUGCAGGCACAACAGACAUAUAUUUGUGUACGUAUGUAUGUGUACUAUAUUUACGUCUACUCACAAAUGAACUAACUGCAGUUUCAUAUAGAAAGUGUGUGAAGAAUCGUGUUAGACUCAAAAUGCCAAGCACGUUGCAAUGUCGGAGGACCGUGUUGAAUUGCAACAAAAUGAAAUUGGUAGCAUGCUAGCUUAUCCACAGCCAUAUAUAAUAAUGUAUAGUAUUAAUAUAUCCCUCACUUAAUAAAAAAAAACAUAAGAGAAUAGUCAUUUAAGUGCGUCUGAUUAAGCGAAUUAUUCAACUCCUAUUUCUCCUCAAAGGGAACUGUAUCUUUUGAUGUGUUUAUAGACAUACAGAUAGGUUAUAAUCAAGGUAGUAAUAGAUCAUUUACCAGUUCUGAUAUCAUAUAAACUUUUCUGUGAAUUAAGAGUUAAAUCCUGGUAUAAAGGUAAGUUUUAUACUGUGACCUUGACAAAUGUAACUCGUCGUCCAACCAAUGCUCUUCUAGUGAUAGAAAUCUACCAGCCAGGGAAAUACCUUCAGAAGCAUAAAGCUUAUUGGCUAUGUGGGGUCUAGGGCAAGUUUUCACAAUUUCUCCAUUUUAAGUUAGAAGAUACACAGUUAAUAGAAAAAUAGACUCUCUCUUUUUUAUUGAAGUAACUUUGACCUAAAUAUGUAGUACCUAUAAAGUCAACUGGAAGUUCGAAAUUCUGAUUCUCCCUGAAUUCCAAUUAUAUAUCUCACACAUUGACCAAUAUUUUCAUUAAAAAGUCAACUAUAAGCACGUUCCAAAUUUAGUUGAAAUCAGUCCGGCGAAUCCCGAGAUAUGUGAUUCCACCAAAAAGUGGGCGGAGAAGCGCUCGUCGUAAAAUUAUUUCUUAGGCACCUACGAAGCCAUCUCAUACCAUCUCGGAGGUAAAAUUUAAUGUUAUUUAAUUCUUGAUUUAUAGCGCUUUUAGUACCUUAUAACAGAACCGCUAUAUGGGGAGUAAGCGGGGUUAUCACACGAUUUCAUCCAAUUCACACUGUCGAUAGGAGUUCUUAAAAAUAUUUGCGCUAUGCUCUGGUUGUUGUAGCUUUAAUGGUAGGGGUGAUAUGUACAUUAAACUUAUUAGAGGACGUUCUGAAGAA